rnacentral:rRNA from 1 species
UGGGGAAUAUUGGACAAUGGGGGCAACCCUGAUCCAGCCAUGCCGCGUGUGUGAAGAAGGCUUUCGGGUUGUAAAGCACUUUCAGUAGGGAGGAAAACCUUAUGGUUAAUACCCAUGAGGCUUGACGUUACCUACAGAAGAAGCACCGGCUAACUCCGUGCCAGCAGCCGCGGUAAUACGGAGGGUGCAAGCGUUAAUCGGAAUUACUGGGCGUAAAGCGCGCGUAGGUGGUUUGGUAAGCGAGAUGUGAAAGCCCCGGGCUUAACCUGGGAACGGCAUUUCGAACUGUCAGACUAGAGUGUGGUAGAGGGUAGUGGAAUUUCCUGUGUAGCGGUGAAAUGCGUAGAUAUAGGAAGGAACACCAGUGGCGAAGGCGGCUACCUGGACCAACACUGACACUGAGGUGCGAAAGCGUGGGGAGCAAACAGG